rnacentral:rRNA from 1 species
UACGUAGGUGGCAAGCGUUGUCCGGAUUUACUGGGCGUAAAGAGCGCGCAGGCGGUCGUUCAAGUCGCGUGUGAAAGCCCCCGGCUCAACUGGGGAGGGUCACGCGAUACUGAUCGACUCGAAGGCAGGAGAGGGUAGUGGAAUUCCCGGUGUAGUGGUGAAAUGCGUAGAUAUCGGGAGGAACACCAGUGGCGAAGGCGGCUUUCUGGCCGUUCUUGACGCUGAGGCGCGAAAGCUAGGGUAGCAAACGGG